UACGGGGGGGCAAGCGUUGUUCGGAAUUACUGGGCGUAAAGGGCUCGUAGGUGGCCAACUAAGUCAGACGUGAAAUCCCUCGGCUUAACCGGGGAACUGCGUCUGAUACUGGAUGGCUUGAGUUUGGGAGAGGGACGCGGAAUUCCAGGUGUAGCGGUGAAAUGCGUAGAUAUCUGGAGGAACACCGGUGGCGAAGGCGGCGUCCUGGACCAACACUGACACUGAGGAGCGAAAGCGUGGGUAGCGAACAGG
rnacentral:rRNA from 1 species